GGCUGGUCUGAAGGUAGUGAGUUAUCUCAAUUGAUUGUCUACAGUCAGUUACAGAUCGAACUCCUCGUUCUACUCUUUCCCCCCUUCUCACUACUGCACUUGACUAGUCUUUA
rnacentral:Y_RNA from 1 species